CCCAUCCCUCAGGCAACACAGACAGUUGCAAAGGAAGAGGAAACAUUCACCAUGCUUUGGAGGGAGAGAGAGCCACCAGCCAUGUGAGAUCUAGGGUGGAGUGGCCUUCCCUGACUGAGCCUGGGGUAGCAGGGACACCAUUCUAUGGUUAGAUUCCACCAUCUUGAAUAUCAGAGAGAAAUUUUGAGUAGAGAGAGGAGGGGUGGAUUUCCUUCCUCCCCCAGGAGGAACUGAGAACAGCUCCUGACUGACCCUGUGAGGAGCUUGACAGCUGGAGAAUAGGCCUUCUCUCUGCUUGGGCUUUAGCCAGCACUCAGGUCCUUUUAGGAGAGCCCCUUGGGGCCUGGGUGGGCAGCUGCUUUGCUUUGGUGCCACUUUCUGGGCAAAAGAUUCAGUGUUUGGAUUUUUAUUAGCCAAUAAAGUUAAGGGGGAAACGCUGGGGGAAAAAAAUCCCAGCACACUGUUGUUACUCUUAUGAAUGAGUAACACAGCUCGCAACUAGACUAUUAAUGUCUAAAUGGGUUUUCUGUGCUCCAAGCCAAAACACAUUUCAUAAAGUUACACAGAGAUGGACUGCAUCCCAGUUAAUAAAAACAGUCGUGUGCAGAGGAUGCCUGGGCCAACCAGAGGGGUGCUGGCUGCCUUCCGGAACGUUGCUACAGUUACUGUUCCAACUAUGAUUUGAUUUGACUUUUCAGAAACAAAAGAUUUCAUUAGAUACUUGAACUUAAACAUUAUUACCUAAUUCUAACUCCAAAAGUAUAUUUAUUGUGCGAGUUAUUGGAAUACAUAGAUACAUAGAUAGGGCUGUUUUGUUUUGUUUUUUAAAGAAACACUUUGACUAACUCCCAAGCAGGCCUCUUAUUCUGCACAGAGGAUGAUUUUGAACUUCUGAUCUUUCUAUCCCUACUUAUCAAGGUCUGGGGUCACAAAAGGUGCCAUUAUGUGGUACUGGGAUCAAACCCAGGGCAUUGUGAAUUCAGCAAGCACCCUCCCAAAGGAGCAACAACCCAUCCCAAUUUUCAAUAUUUUCAAUGUUGUAAAAUCACAACUGCUUAUUUGUAAAUAAAGAUAGAUAUUGUUUUCGCUUUUUUUUUUUUUAAGGCAGGUACUUACUGUGUAAGCUUUAGCUUGUCUAGAACUCUUUUUGUCAACCAGGCUGGCCUUGAACUCAGAGAUCCACCUGCCUCUGCCUCCUGAGUGCUGAGAUUAAAGGCGUGUGUCACCACCAGGUCAAUUUCUGUAUAUAUAUUUUAAAUUUUGGAAUUGAGGUAGGAAGAUCCCUUGAGGCCAGCAGUUCAAGACCUUAGACAGCAUAACACGACCCUAUCUCAAAAUAAAAAAAUAAAAUAAAAAGAUAAAGAACAAGUAAAUGGCCAUUGUAGCAAAGGCUGCAUCUGUCUGGCUUGGGAUCGGUGACUACAUUUUCCCUUCUUAGUUUUGCCUUUUGAAAUAGGAAUGUCUGCUUAAUGCUGCUCGCUCAUUGUGUUUCAAAAGCAGAUCAUUUAUUUCCUGGUUUCACAGAUCCCCAGAUGGAGAAAGAUUUUGCCCAGGAUGUACUAUGUCCCAAGUCCCAGCCAUCCCGAUUUAGACGAUGAACUUGAAAACUUUCUGAGUUGAUAUUUACAUGAGAUUCUGAACUUGUAGUGCAUAUUGAAAUGGCUUAAAAGACCUUGGGAUAGGCCCCGACGCUUCCAGCUAUGCCGACUCCCUGGGCGCCGGCUUCUCUGUGCUCCUAUCUGAAAAAGACCGCAGGGAUCGGUUUAGUUUUUGGAUCGGGAAUCGUCUUUGCCACAUGAUCACCCAACAGCUUCGUCUUCAUUUCCCCCCCCACCCCCUAUAUGUCACUUUUCCAUUCAUUAAAGAGGAAAGCAAUUUUUAAAAAAUUUUUACUCUUCUCUCAUACUUUAUCCCGACCACAGUUUCCCCUCCCUCUGGCUGGCUUGGGAGGGGACCCCGCCCCGUUCUCCCAGGGACAUCCAUCAAAGAGGAUACAGUGGCGCUGGGCACAAACCCUCCCAUCCCGACUGGAGGUAGUAACCCAGUAGGAGGAAAAGCCAUGCUACUCCAACAUUCUAUCAAGGGCGCUAUAUCCCCAGCCUCCUGUCCUGUUUCUCUACUCUGCCAGCCUUACUCUCCUGGCUUGACUUUUCUUUCCUCAAUCUGUUUCUACGCUGAAGCUUCCCUCAUUAAAAAGCCAAAACCUGACCGAAACCUUUGUCUUAGUUAUUUUUGGGUUACAGGUAUUUUCAUCUGUAUUUGUCACCGUGUUUUCUUCUUUGCCUCGCUCUGCCCUGUCUUUCUUCCCCAAGUCUGCUGCUCCCCACACAUAACACCCCCCCAUCUACGUUCAUAUUCCAUAACCCUCUCUUGAUUCCCUCACGCCAAAAUAUUUUUUUUCUUUUUUCUUUAUUUCGGAGCUGGGGACCGAACCCAGGGUCUUGCACUUGCUAGGCAAGCGCUCUACCACUGAGCUAAAUCCCCAACCCCUUCUUUUUUUUUUAAUGGUUAUUUUUGUCUUUUUUUUUUUUUCCC